rnacentral:tRNA from 1 species
GAUAGAUGGCCGAGUGGUCGAAGGCGCACGAUUGGAAAUCGUGUGUACCUCCAAAGGGUACCGAGGGUUCGAAUCCCUCUCUAUCC